rnacentral:lncRNA from 1 species
GUAGCCCCGGCCAACCAGGACCCGCCGCGUGGCAAGAAAAUGCUGACCAGGGGACGGGCCACGUGGGCGAUCCGCGUGCGCGCGAUCGGACGGCCCAAAUCCGUUCUCGCGCGCACGGACAGCCCAGAUCAAACGUGCGCACGGACGGUCCAGAUUCACGCACACGGACGGCCCAGAUUCAAUCAGGCACGGACGACCCAGAUUGCAUCGCGAUGGACGGCCCAGAUUUAAUCCCAAUUAAAUCGCGAUCGAACGAUCCAUAUUUAAUCCUGAUGGACGGUUGAGAUUAAAAGGCAAAUGGUAUAAAU